GACGAACGCUGGCGGCGUGCUUAACACAUGCAAGUCGAACGGAAAGGCCCUGCUUUUGUGGGGUGCUCGAGUGGCGAACGGGUGAGUAACACGUGAGUAACCUGCCCUUGACUUUGGGAUAACUUCAGGAAACUGGGGCUAAUACCGGAUAGGAGCUCCUGCUGCAUGGUGGGGGUUGGAAAGUUUCGGCGGUUGGGGAUGGACUCGCGGCUUAUCAGCUUGUUGGUGGGGUAGUGGCUUACCAAGGCUUUGACGGGUAGCCGGCCUGAGAGGGUGGCCGGGCUCCAUGGGACUAAGGUAGGGCCCAGAAUCCAACGUGAGGCAAGAGGCGGGAAAAUUGCACAAAGGGGCGGAGCCAGAGACGAGAACCGCCGGUUCGGGAAGACCGGCUUUGGGUUAUAAACCGCUUUCGCCGUUGACAGAGCCGUAGUGACGGUAAUGGGUAAAAAAGCCACGGCUAACUACGUG
rnacentral:rRNA from 1 species